rnacentral:rRNA from 1 species
GACGAACGCUGGCGGCGUGCCUAAUACAUGCAAGUAGAGCGCACAGUUUAUACCGUAGCUUGCUACACCAUAGACUGUGAGUUGCGAACGGGUGAGUAACGCGUAGGUAACCUGCCUGGUAGCGGGGGAUAACUAUUGGAAACGAUAGCUAAUACCGCAUAAUAUUGAUUAUUGCAUGAUAAUUGAUUGAAAGAUGCUAUUGCAUCACUACCAGAUGGACCUGCGUUGUAUUAGCUAGUAGGUGAGGUAACGGCUCACCUAGGCGACGAUACAUAGCCGACCUGAGAGGGUGAUCGGCCACACUGGGACUGAGACACGGCCCAGACUCCUACGGGAGGCAGCAGUAGGGAAUCUUCGGCAAUGGACGAAAGUCUGACCGAGCAACGCCGCGUGAGUGAAGAAGGGUUUCGGAUCGUAAAGCUCUGUUGUAAGAGAAGAACGGGUGUGAGAGUGGAAAGUUCACACUGUGACGGUAUCUUACCAGAAAGGGACGGCUAACUACGUG